rnacentral:pre_miRNA from 11 species
UUCUGACUGCUUAUGAAAGAUCCCCAGAGUGGGGAGACCCUCACUCAAGUCUCGGGAUAAGCUGACGCCCCAAUAAUUCAAGAGAGUCU